GAGCCACCUCCUCAAAUUUCAAUUUCGUUUUCUGCUAACAUGUUGAUUUCAAUGAUUCAGGCACCUACUCUAGAAUUUAAACCAUUACCGGAUCAUUUCAAGUAUCACCUUCCAUUCAAAGAUCAACUCCAUGUCAUGGGUCCUAGUAAGGAUUAAUUAGAGGUGUCGUCCAAUUGGAAGACGUUAAAGCAAGCGCUUCUUGGGAGGCAACUCAUACGGUCAAAUAAAGAUGACCUAGGACUCUUCGGCUCCAAAACCAAAUUUGCUUUCCUUAACCCUACUCUUUAUUGCUUUUUCGUUGCCAUAAUUGUCAUGUUUGUUCGCUGUGUUGUUUGAUUGCUUGCGUGUGAGUCUAUGUUUGAAACAUUGAGGACAAUGUUUGGUUUAAGUGUGUGGGGGGGGUAAACAAAGUGUUUUUCAUGAAUGUUCGUUGGGUUUCACCACCUAGCACUUCUAGAGUUGUUACUCACUGUUUUAAGUGUUUUUAUUGUGUUUUGAAGUGUUUUAAUGUGUUUUGAAAGAAAAAUACGAAAAUUUGAAAAAAAAAAUUCGAAAAAGUUUUGAAAAACCGAAAAAUAGUCGUUUUUAGAGUCGUUUUUGUGUGUUUGUGUCUUAAGGUACCUUCCAACACAAUGAUGAGGAUUUGGUUUUUAAUUGCAUGACUGUUAAAGAAAAGUACAAACAUGGAUGGAAGUUUGAUAUGCUCUUUGGUUUAUGCUUAGUUGUAGUUGACGUUUACGAAUUCACAUGGAUGGAAGUUUGAUAUGCGCUUUGGUUUUUGUAACAUGCUUGAAGGAAGGAACUCAAACUAACGCUACAACCCUGAGAGACUUGAGCCUAUUCUUUGUUUGGAGAGUUAUUAAUAUGUGAUAUUCUUGUUUUCUAAAGUCGUUGCAUGAUCUCAUUAUUUCUUUGCUUGGUUGCUACUUAGAAUGCUUUUUCAUCAUUUUAGUUCCAAAUACUAGAACUCAUGCCUGUUUCAUUCAAAGCUUAAAAUUGAUUGCAUAACGAAGACAAGAUGAAGUGUUUAGUUAAACCAGAGCCAAAAAGCCUUAUUCCCUUGCAUAUGUUUUGUAGGUUAUUUGAGCCUUAUUUAGCCUAUUUUCUUUGUUAGCAUACAUUAUCCCUACCUAGCCUAGCAUAGGACUAUCCAUACCCUUGUUUUUAAAGAAUAAUGGAGCAUGACUUAGAGGGAAUUCCUUUUGAUCGACAUUAUGUAGAAAAAUAAGUGUGGGGGAAGGUUUUUCGUUGGAAAUCUAUAAGGUUGUACGCUUAGUGUGCCAAAGAAAGAAAGAAAGAAAAAAAAGACAGAGUUGAGUAAUAAGUGAGAAUGAACCCACAAGUAUUGGUUGUUGAAGAAAGGGUCCAAAAGUUUGAAUACGACCCUAAGUGUUGUAAGAAUCUUUCCCUUGUGUUUAAAGUAAGUUGCAGCAUUCAAAAGUUGAAUUCUAAGUGUUGAUUUCAUUACUUUGCUUACUAUCACUUUGAGAACCUUUGUUUAUCCUUAACCUUUUGUUUAUUAGCCAAUAUCCUUGCCCCGUUACAACCCUUAGACUUUUAUCUUGGUUGUUAUGUGUUUCAAUAUGUGGAGUUUGAAAUUGGUACGAGCAUAUAGAAUCCCUGGUUCUCGCGUCUAAGUAGUGGCAUUCUGUUCAUGAGAUCAUAUAUACAAGCAUUAAUAAUUCCAGAAAGUGCCUGCUUUGAUUAUAACAUAUGUGAGUGUUAGUCAACAUGUUUACAUCAAUCUUCUCACAUGUACCUAUUAUAGGGAGUGUAGUUAGAAAAUCUGUGUGAAAAUAGAGAGUAUAUAUGGUGAGGAAUUGAGUGAAUUCUCUAAGGCAUGUUACUACAUUCAAAACAUUGUUUUAAUUGAUUAAAUGCGAGCUAGUGAGUGGUGCUUGCGAUUAAGUUUGAGCUCGAGGGUAAGGAUAGCUAAAAUCUGUGGAAGUAAUGAUUUUUAACAUGUCAUGUUUCAUUGGAAAUCCCUGAGGCAAACGUUGGAAGGUUUAGGUUAUGUUUUGUUUGUUUUGUUUUGCUCGAGGACUAGCAAAAGAUAAGUGUGGGGGAAUUUGAUGGGAGCAUAUUUAUGAAACUUUGUUAGCUUGUUUCUUUGCAUUUAGUGAGUUAGUUUUCGUUUAUUAUAGUGAUUUAAGCAAUUUUCGUGUGUUUGUAGGUCCAAAUGGAAAAAGUGGCAAGAAAAGGCAAUUUGGAGCAUUUUAAAACAGUUUUGGGCGUCAAAUGGACAACAAAUGAAUGGAGCAUAAUGGAUGGACGUUUUUUAAGAUCAAAAGAGGCUAGGAAUGUGCUAAAGAGUUGGAGAAAUUAAUUCAAGACUUGGAAGAUAAGGAAUUAGCUAAAAGGAAGGAACAUUAUUCAAAACCUUAUCCAGUCCUGUUUUAUCUAAACUAACCAUAUCUUAUCUUAUCCUAUCCUAAUCUUAUCCUACCUUAUUUCUAGCUACAAGGGGGACUCAUUUUCUUAUUAAACCACCUCUUAUCUGAUUUCUAGGAGUCCUAAAACAAUGCUAACAAUUAAUCCUUUUCCUUUACUACCUUGGUGUCGUGCCCUAGCCCUAUAUAUACACCUUUGUCAUAUCAUUCAGAACGACUACCAUUCAGAACGACUAUCAAUCAGAAAAAUACAUACUUGUGUCGCAGCUUUGCAAGGAAGGAGAGAAGAAGCUUGGAGCCGUGCCUACCAUUCAAGACUUUUGGAUUGCUGGAACAUUUCUAGGUGUAUUCUAUCUUUUGUUUUCAAUGUUUAAUUUUAAUUGUCUUUGUUUAAUUGUAAACAUGUGGAACUGAUUUUGUUUUAGCUAGAGGUGAAUUCAAAGCCAUGAACAUAUGUGUCAUAUGAAUUGAUUACAUCCAGUUAUUGUUCCAUAAAUCGUGAAUGUAAUUUACUUAUCUGUUUGAUUGAUAACUUAUUCGUAUGUGUUGAUUGAGGAUGCAUACUUAGUUUGCAUGCAGGGAUUUGAUGAUAGAAUAUAAGGGAAUUUCGCCUAAUAGUUAUGAACUUAUAUUUACAAGUAGUGGAGGUUGCUAGUCACGUUCGCAUUAAGUAAAUUCCUGGCAGGAGUAUCAUGUGUUUCGUAGUUACGAAUGCCAUGUCAAUGCUUAUGAUUUUCAUAGAACUUAAUGAUCUUUGAUAUGUAUCUCUAUUAUGCAGUUCAUGUAGGGAACUUGAUAAGAAUAAUUUGGUUGCGUCGCUGAGUCAAAUUCAAUGAAUUUAGGAAAAUCUGAUGGUUUGUGCAGUUCACGGUUAACUUGGGGCAUUGUCAUUCAUGGUUUAUAGGAAGAAUAAUUGAAAAUCGAUUUGUAUGCAUAUGUGUCAUGUGUGGAGAAUGACCCUCUAGCUAGUCUUUCACCCUUUCAUUCACCCUAAUUUCGUAUCAAUUAGUUUGUUUUCUGCAAGUUAAUUACUUUUAGUUUUAAAUUUCGUUCAAAACAACUCCCCAUUUAGUAUUCUGAGUCUUUUUAGUUUAGAAUUCGAUAAGGUUACGCUUUUUGUCGUUGAUGGUGUUUGAAACCUUCUUUCCAGGAUUCGAAGAUGAAGCGAAGUUGUACUCAGCUUUGGACAUAAGUUUAGUGGUGUUUGGAUCAAAACCUUCUUCGGUCCUCUUGGUUGGAAGAAUGCUUGGUUCUAUCCCCUUUGGCAAAGCUUUUAUGAAGCCUUGUGGUGGUCUUGCAACCUUAGCAUCGCCUAGCUGUGUCAAAGGAAAAACUUCAUUCGUCUUGAGCAACUUUACAUCAUCCUUAUGCAGCUGUGUGUCGGCUUUGCUUGCUCUAUUUUCGAACAAGGAUUGACCAUUCUUUCUUCUCGACACCAGGAUGUAUCAGAAAACGGGUGUGUUUGGUCCUUUUAAGGGCGUCAUGCUCCAUUUGGUUGUUGCAGGUUUAGUAGGCUCAUCAUUGUUUUUGCUUGAAGAUGGCACGGCUUCUCCUUCUUACUUCUUGGGCAUGGCUUGCCACUCCUACUUUUUAAGUGUUGCUUUGCUCGUGGAUUUGAUCUUUUUUGGAAGAGCUUCUGGCACCAUGUGUUUCUUCAUGUAGAACUUGGUGUAUGCGAAGUAUGUUUCAACUUCGGUGAAUGGCUUGGUAUCACAUUGGUGGAGGGUGGAUGACACUACUCCAUUUUCGUGGAUCCAAGGUCUUCCUAAGUGCAAGCUGUAGGAAGUUUUUGCAUCAAUCACGUGGACUAUAGUGCUUGAUUUGAGUUUACCAAUGGUCAUCUCCAUUCGAAUCAUGCUCAUUGCUCUUUGUCCUCCUUGGUUAAAACCCUAGAUCAGCAGACGACUUAGGGAUAGUUCAUCCACCUUGAUGUCGAUUGUGGUCAUUGUUGACUUUGGCAUGAUGUUUAUGGCCGAUUCAACAUCCACAAGCAUGCGGUUGACUUUGUGCUCCCUUACGUGCUCUGAGAUGAAGAGAUGACUGUUAUGAGGCUUUGAUCCUAGCAGUAAGUCUUCGUCAGUGAAGUGGAUUGCGUCAUGGGUGGCACAACAUGUGGCCAAAGCUUCAAGCCUUUGUCCUUGCUUUCUUGUACCUCAUGGUCGUCGGGACUCGCCAAAACCGAUAUUAGUGCAUUCCGCAUCUAGCCUUGCCUUUUGAGGGUUCUUCCUUUUCUACUUCGACCAUGUGACAUGUAGCCGUAGUGCAUUGUUGGAAGAAGUCAUUCGGGAAGUACUCGUGCAAGGAGACAGGAAUGCGUGGCUCUUGCUCCAUAGGUUCCCCAACAUAGGUUGGUAUAACAUCUUUUACGUUUCUUUUAGGCUUCCUACUGUUGCGGCGACGGUGCUUUCUCCCUUGUUCCACCUUUGGCCUUAUGGCUUGUGGUUUUGGUUUCCUUGUCUUUUUGUAGGUCACCAAUGUCCAUCCUUUGUCAUCGUCAGUAGGUGCAUCUUCGUUGCUUGCCCCCAGUGAUGGUUGUGUAGAAGGUGCCAUGUGAUUUGAGCAUUGAUAGAAGUGGUUAUGCGUCACUUGAAAAGGCACAAGAUUAAAGGAUCCAAACAUAAUCGUAGUGGUGUGCGUUGCGACUGUGUCUUCUAGGUUGAGUUCAAUUCACCCUUGUUGUGCCAGCUUUAUGAUGAGUUCCUUGAGGAUGAACUACUUGCCAACGGGAUGACUUACAAUACGAUGGUACUUGCAGUACCUGGGAUCGUCAAUGCAAUUCAUCUCUUCGGGACGCUUGCAUUCAAUCAGCUCUAUUACCUUCUUCUCCAAUAGGUUGUCUAACAUUGCGACCAUGUUAGAGUUCGAAAAAGGGUAUAUCUUCUGCUCCAGUUCCCUUAAGGUGCUUUUGUACCUAUCUUGGGUGCGAGGAGGCUCACCUUUUUUCAUCUCAUUCGUUUUGUUCUUGGAGGAGAUCUUGACGGGUAUAGAGGAGGUCAUGAUGGGGGUAGUGUUGAUGGUAAAAGCUUUCUUGGUGGGCUUCUUCCCAUGGUUGUCCACCUUCGGAGCAAACACCUUGUCUUUCUUGAAGUCGGUGAUUGGCUUAUUUUUUCCAUGAUGGGCGAUGCUCAACUGUCAUGGGUGCGGGUGUAACUCUUCGAAGGUCUGCAGUUUGAUGCCUUGAAGGAUGUAGUGUAAUCACCAUUACAUUCUUUGGAUGCACAUCUCGAUUGAGGAGAUCUCCAAGAGCCUGUCUUUGCAGUCGAGGCUUAGAGUGCGUCAUCGGUUGAUUAACAACUGGCUCAUCCUUCCAUUGCUUCGUACUUGUCAGCUCUAGCAUGUUUACAGUACGGUGGGUGCUAUAGAAGCAGUUCAAGAACUCCCAUUCCAAUUGCUCCCAACUGUUGAUGGACUCAAGCUCUAAGUCCGUGUACCAGUUGAAUGCAUUCCCUUUCAGAGAGCGGACAAACUGCUUUGCAAAUGAGUCUCAUUCCAUCCUUGCAUUGUUGCAAGUUUCAAUGAAAUGGGUGACGUUUUGCUUUGGGUUUCCCUUUUUCCAUCAAAAUGCAUGAACUUUGGUGGUUGAUAACCCCUCAACAUCUUCAUUGCGUCAAUCUUCUUGGAGUAGGGCUUCGAGUACAACACGGAGGUAUGUGAGCUCCCUUCGUACUACGCCUUGAUGGUGCUGGCGAUCAUCUGCUGCAGCUGUUGGAUAGAGAAAGAUCCCAUGAGUGCCGCUGCUUAGUUUUGCACCAACUUCUCUUCGACUUUCUCCACCAGAAGCUCGUAUUCUUCAUCAGCUUCUCUUUUAGCGAAUCAACCUUUGGGACGACUUUCACGUCAUGCUGCGCCUCUAGUUGGUUGACGAGUGCGGCGAUUUGCAAGUCUUUCUCCUCCAUAGUCCGUGUGAAUUUUGUGAUCGCUUCAUUCAUUUGAGCUAGCUGUUCCUCGAUUGAAGUCGCUCCGAUGGUUAUGACUUGUAUGGCUGUGCAAUUGCGCAGGUCAGCAUCGGAGAGCAUGAACUCGGAGUACUUCUUUGGACUUUCCCCCUUUGGUGCUCUUAGUGAGGCCAGGAUGAUCAGGGGUUGGUGCCACAGGUGCUCUUGUUCCUUUGGCAGAGUUGAUACAGGGGUGGAAAACACGGCGAAAAGUGUAUUGCCUUACUUCGAGUUGUGAUGCCUGAAUUGUCACCACUUACGGCAAGGGCGUUCUUGUUCUUUGCCUUGGUUGCGGGAACAACUUCAACCUUCCUUGGUACCAUUUGUGUUUUUUUGAGGAUUUGAAGAUAGAGAUGAGAGGUAGAGAUCUAUACCACCAGGCGUGCCAAAUUUGUAAACACGAAUAUUCUUACGAUGAAUGAAACAAGAACACGUGUACAAAGUAAUAUUUUGUAUUAAUUUUGGGGAUACAAUCUCUUUUACAAUUUGAUCCUCGCAUUCUAUCUUCGUAAGGUGUAGAUUUGUAGAUGGGAUGUUGAUCCAAAGGGCCGUUGGGGCUUAAUCUAGGUAUGAACAGGAUAAACGGAUCUUCAAGGGCCUUCGGAGCUUGAUCUUGAUGAACAAUUGUGUGGAUUUCUUCAAGGGGCGUUGGGCUUGAUGUUGAUGAACGGAUCUUCAAGGCCCUUCAGGGCUUGAUCUUGAUGAACAGUUGUGUGGAUUUCUUCAAGGAUUUGACGAAGAACGAAGAGAGCUUUCUUGAUCCUUCGGGAUUAUUGGGAAUUUGGGAGGUUGGAUGCUUGAAAGCUUUAGAGUUUCAAAGCUUCAAAGAUUUGGGGAAUUCUCUUCCAAUUUGGGAAUAGAGAAAUGUAUAUGUGAAUUGGUGAAAUGAAAUGAAAGGCUUGGCCUUCUAUUUAUAGAAAAUUUCAAGGCCUAAUUUUGAAUAUAAUAAUCAGAUGAAAUAAAUCAUUUCUACCAGGUAUUGACACAUGUCUUUUUUUAUGACUUUUUCGAUUUUUGUUGAGUCACACGCUGCGUGUAAAAUUUAUGUGACAUGUGAACGUUGAAAUUUUAAUGCAUUGGUCAACAUUUAUUUCAUCGAAAUUUCGAUGUCUACAACCUUCAUAUCCAUCUUUCCACUAUGCAUCUCCAUCAUCCAUGGCAGCACUUUCAAAUCCCUCCCAGAUCCAAACCCUACAAUCCCUUUAGUUGUUAGCACCAUGAAAUUUCCAUUUCUUAACCAAAUCCCACUUUCCUAGUCAAAUCCCACACACCUAAUUUGUCAAUCUUUUUUUCUUUUCGGCAUACCCAAUUUCUCACUCACACCCCCUUUUCAGCAAAACCCAUAUGCAAAUACCAUUUGUUUCGCAAAUCCCACUCUCAAAAUCCUCACUUCCCUCAUCCCAAAAAAUGUGGAAAACUAGGGCAAGAAAAAGACAAAAUUACCCUAGAGGCAUACUAAAGCUUCUACGCGCAAGUAGUGGGAAAUCAUCCCUCAAUCAAGUGAAAAUUGCCCAAAAUAGGUAUUUAUUUAUAACCUAUUACAUCCAUCCCUCAUGAUAUAUUAUCCAUAAGGUAACCCCUAAAUCAUUGCUUUUCAAUUAUAUUAAUUAGCUAAUUAAUUGAUUAAUUAUUCCAUUAAUUUGCUAAUUAAACACAAAUCAUGAACUUCACCCACAAAACCAUCCACGUGGCUGGUCCAUCUCCUCCCAAGGUGGCUAGCCACAUCCCUAUAUAAACACCUUCAUUCUCUCCAAAACUCAAUUCUAAUUCUCUUGCUAAAUUCUCAAAAUUCUCCAAACACGUUUCUUUCGAAAUUCUAACUUGGCAUCGGCAACGCAGGCCCAAGCCUCGUCCACUUGGUGCAUGACCCAAUCUACAGUCCACACUGCAAGGCAGUUGAGCUAGGCCCAGCACGAGCUGGCCCGAGCCACUACCUCAGUAGCGCAAGCCCAAACAGCUGCAGCAAGAGAAGCAGCCUAACACUUGCGGGCCCAAAGUUAGCGCGAGCCCAGCGCUCUAGAGUCGAGCCUAGGCUCAACAUGCACACACAUCGCAGCCCAUUCUCGUGGUGUCCCAAGCAGCUCAAGCCGGUCUAAUACCAGUUUAACUGUCCCGGCUAUAGAUUUCUUGACCGACGAUUGAACCGAGGGUAUUUUCAUCCCAUUUCUCCGCAGAUUUGACAUCCCAACUCAAAUUUCACGCCCGGAGUCCAUUACACUUCCACUACUCAAGGAGAUGUAUUUUGUCCAAGCUUUUCCAACCCGAAUGGUGAAUAACACUUGUCUCGAGAAGUCAUAGAGUUGACAAGCGCCUUCGCACAUCAGACAACCUUGGUGAAUCAGUUAUUGCAGCGUACCAAGAUGCAACGUCCCCUAGAUAAGGUAUCCCGAAGUAGGACAAGGGCAGACAAAGAACCUCUCCAAUAGCGUCCCAACAAGCAGCCACUUGACCAGUCACGAACCGAGUGUUUUGACAGAGUACACUCCCAACUGGGCCCCCGAGAUAGCGUAUACUCUCGUCUUAGUGCGCGGUGGAGUGUACACUCUUAUUUAAGCCCACAAACGAACAUACACUCAUGGUUGAGGCCACACUCCGAUAAUCAACAUGAGCAACCUUCCAGGAGAAGUGUUCAUUCGUAGCAAAGCCCACAAAGAGCAUCCUCCACCUCAUAUCGGAGUAGGCAACACAGCGAAUGGAGAGAAGCAGUCACUUAAUCCGGCUCAAGUUUAACCAGCAGCCUGUGAGUUACCUGCUUGCCUAUUAGGAACAUACCACAUGCACCGCAACUAUGGCAUAAACGAGCCAAACACAUGAAAAAGCAGCCUAGAUCAGCAGGUCACCACUAGGGGCAGCCGAAAGCUCUGCUACCCCAACAAAGGCAAAUUUAGAAAGAAGUUGAGAAGCCCCUGACCAAGCGAUUAUGUCAUUUCUAACGCAACAAAGCUACUGACGAGGCUCUCCGAUAAGACAUGACCAAUAUAAGUGGGUUAACUUUCAAUCACAAGAUUGAGCAGGUGGGACUAUCGCACAUAGAUUGUUGAAUACAAAAAUUACUUUUGUUCUGACAAAGGUAGCAACUCAACUUAAUGGCGUGCUGGGGACAAAUAAGUACCAAAAUGACACACCAGCCCAAUUACUAAGAACCGAGGGCAGGCCUUGUUCUCACCACUCCAGACGAUUCGAUACUGAAGUAGCACAUCAUCAAUAGCCGAGCAUUAUGGACCUAGUGGUCUAAUUCCUCUUACUACGUACAACCUGGCCCAAGCCAACCCCAACUCUACUUUCACAGUCGUGCCUACCUGUUCCACGGCUCCUGGAAGCCAUUUAUCUAUCACCAUGGCUUAGAACUGUGCCAAUCUUGCAUCACGACUCCUAGCCAUGCUAAUCUUGCCCUGUGGCUGCACCAACCAAGCCUUAAAAAGGCACAUGACGAAAAACCUAAUUAUGGCCCAAUAAUUUCAGGAGUAGCUCACUGCACUUACACCCUUACGCGGGUUCCACAAGCAGUUCGAAGUCUUAAGCAGUUCGCCAAAUAAAACCUCGUAGGCUGAGGAUUAUUUCAGUUGUCCAGCAGUCUAAUUUUCCUCAGCUGCACUCACGACAACAACUUCUAUGCUCUUCAGUGCGAGAGGGUAAACCAAUCCCACAACACCCAUCUGGUAAACUCUCCAGUGCGACAUGAUAAACUAAUUGAUCUCCAGUGCAAAAAGGUAAAUCAAUUCCCUAACAUCCAUAUGAGUAAGCUCUCUAGUGUGAGAGGUUAAACUAAUUGCUCUGCAGUGCAAGAAGGUAAACCAAUUCCCCGACACCUAUAUGGGUAAGCUCUCAAGUGUGAGAAGGUAAAUUAAUUUCUCUCCAGUGCAAGUGGGUAAACCAAUUCCUCGACACCCAUAUAGGUAAGCUCAUCACUGUGAGAGUUUAAACAAAUUGCUCUCCAGUAUAAGAGGGUAAACCAAUUUCCCGACACCCAUAUGGGUAAGCUUUCUAGCGCGAGUGGGUAAACUAAUUACUUUCCAGUGCGACAGGGUAAACCAAUUUCCCGACACCCAUAUGGGUAAGCUCUCUAGUGCAAGUGGGUAAACUAAUUGCUUUCCAGUGCGAGAGGGUAAACUAAUUGUUCUCCGGUGCGAGAAGGUAAACUAAUUCCUCGACACCCAUCUGGGUAAGCUUUCUAGAAUAAGAAGGCCAUAUAGCUCAAAAGAUUGAAUGCUUGAAGACUAACUAAGGAGCGAAUGGUUAGGGGCAGCAGCCACUUUACACUCAACAGUUUGCUCAGCUGACACUUCAACUUCAACAGCUCCAAUCUUGGCAGCUCCAUCCUUGACUGCUCCAUCUACGACAACUAAGAAAUCAAAUUCAAACAGUUUCCUCAUUUUUAGCAAGCAGCCCAAACCGUGGCCCAUGCCACACCAUUUUCUUGGCCCAUCUUGAGCCAAUCCUUGGCUUCAAUCAAGCCAAGCAGCACAAGCAAUGGCCCUUACCACACCAUCUUUUUGGCCCAUGACAAGCCGACUCUUGGCCCCUGCCAGCAGACGUGUCGCACCACCUCGAUGGCUGCCCUGUGGUAGCACUACCCAAGAAGAAACAAGGAGAAUUAAGUUUUUCUUACAUCGAUGCGAUGCGAAGAAGGCAAAUAAAUCUGCGGAAGACGGUUCUUUGCAUGGGUAAGCAAAGAAGAGUGCUAGGGGAGGGGGAACAAAUAUCCUCUAGUUUUCUCUCAUUCUCGUAAGGACAAAUAAUCGCCCUUCGAAUUUGAUUUAAUCCCUUACUUAAGGUAGGCUUAAAUAGGCUUUGGAGGCAAUUUAUUUCUCUUUCCUAGAAGAAUCUAAUUCCAAGUCCAAGUGAGAAUUUGCAUCAAAGCUGGAGAUCUCUACACAUGCUACCCUUUCUUGCGAGCAGCAAGUGUGGGGGCAUUUGUGGAGCCAAAAAUAAUCGAGAAAAAUAUGGAGGCGACACAUGGAUUAUAGGGUAAGAAGAAGAUAAAAUUACCCUCGCGGCACACUGAAGCUUCUACGGGCAAGUAGUGGGAAAUCAUCCCUCAAUCAAGUCAAAAGUGCCCAAAAUAGUUAUUUAUUUAUAACCUAUUUCAUCAAUCCCUCAUCAUAUCUUCUCCAGAAGGUAACCCGUAAAUCAUUCCUUUUAUUUUUAUUAUAAUAAUUAGCUAAUUAAUUGAUUAAUUAUUCAAUUAAUUUGCCAAUUAAACACAAAUCAUGAACUUCACCCACAAAACUAUCCAAGUGGCCAAUCCAUCUCCUCCCAAGGUGGCCGGCCACAUCCCUAUAGAAACACCCUCAUUCUCUCCAAAACUCAAUUCCAAUUCUCUUGCUAAGUUCUCAAAAUUCUCCGAACACUUUUAUCUCAAAAUUCUAACUUUGGCAUCGGAGGUUUUCGCCCCCUCCCCCCCAAUUCAUCAUGGGCGUGUGAGGCUCUUGGCCUUCAUCUAAGGUGUUAUUUGUUUUUUAGGUGCAAUUUUGUCCAAGAACAAGGAGAAAGAAAUUUGCAUCCACAAGAAUGACCCAUAAGGACCCCAACAUCUCACACACCAUAUACAACCACCCUCUCAUGAUCUCAUCCACUCUAUCCAUCCCAAUCCCUCAUUCUUCUUUGUCAGAUUUGAUGACAACGCCGCCGCCACCAUCUCACCAAGAUUCACAUCAUCGACUUCAAAAUCUUACAGGGGUCUAAUGGGCGACAUUGUUGCAGGCCAUAGCAACCCGCUCCAUUGUUGUGAAAUGGGAUUGAGAAGAGGAAGGAAGUUAUCUGGUGUGGCAUUGAAGCAAAGAGGGUGCGGUGGGGUUCUGAAGUGGAUGGUGGAGAUGGUUUCUCAGAGGUGAAGAUGAGGUAGAAGAAGAGGUAGAAUGAGAUGAUAGAAAGGAAAAGCAAGAGAGAUGGUGAGAAGAACGUGGUGGAGCAUAGUAGAUUCGACCAUUUUUAUGUUGCUGGCUGAGAGAGAGAGAGGAAUGUGAGCAGUGGGUCGGGAAAGAUGAAAAUUACACAGAGUAUACUUUUAAUAAUUAAUUUUAUAUUGAGACAACUUUUUUUCUCUAGAGUGUAAGUUACAAAUAUACCCUUUAUAGUGGUAAGGUGACUUUAUUAAAACUCAAGUAUUAUAUUUCCAAUCCCAACUUAUAAAAAUGUUCUACAUUAUUCCCCUUAAGCCCUUAAUCAAACUUUGUUUUGGUCGGAACCCUUAAUCAAACUAAAAAUAAAAUAAAAAUCACAAAAGCAAAGAAACUUGCACACGACAAUAAUCUCCACCCUCUUGGCGGUCGUCGAGUCUUCAGCACCCACAGUGUCGUUUUCUCUCUCAAUUCUCUCUCUCUCUAGAAAAGAAAAAGGAAAGGUCAAAUUUUAUUCCCAGCCACUCUAAUUGAUCAAUUUGUGGCCUACCUUCAAAACCCUAAUGUUGAACUGAUAAAUGAUAAAAGAAGUAGUCGCCAUGCAAGAUGACCAAGUGCUACACUAGACGCUUUGCUGGGAUUAUCACAUAAUCAAUGCUUUCUCUCUCUCUCUCUCUCUCUCUCUCUCUCUCUCUCUCUCAAACAACCAUGGGAUCUACAGUUGCUACAAUGGUUGGUGGUGGUUGGGUUUUCUAUGUUGUAAUUUUUUACAUAACAAUUUUCUUUCUACACCAAACAUUUUUUAGGGUGAAACAAGACGUUUGUAAGAUAAAAAAUUUAAGUUGGCUGUGGAAAGAUAAUUAUUGUGUUCGAAUAUAAUGUUUCCUUCACAAUUGUAUCUCUUCACCUAUUACUCAUUUCUCUCUUCAAGAAAUAUUAGGCCGAAGGUGAAGUUGGAGUGGAGCUUGAAAGACUGGCAAUCGGCGAGAAGCCUCUCAGAUAUAGUUCAAUUUCAUUCUGAUUUCUCUCGUUUUUCAUUGAUUCGAUGUCGGGGUCAUGUUGCAUGUGCAAAUUCCUAAAUUUUUGUACUUUACUUUCUUUCUCACUUUCUCAGCAGUCAAACAUAGCACAAACAAAAAAACCAGAAAGGAAAAGCAAAACGCACAUUUGGAUGAGCAAUCUAAAAGCCCUUAAAGGAGUCCCAAUGAAAGGGGUGAACACCGAACUGAAGCACGGCGAACUUCUUAACCGAGUCUUUGACCUUGAAGUAGCAGACGUUGGGGCGAUUGAACUGAUUCUGCAAAAAUGGUUAAGGACGGGUUGAACUGAUUAUGCAACAAUGGUCGGCAAUGAGUUGAAUUGAUUCUGCAAAAAUGGUUAAGGAUGGGUUGAACUGAUUAUGCAAUAAUAGUUGAGGACAGGUUGAAUUGAUUCUGCAAAAAUGAUCAAUGAAAUGUUGAACUGAUUCUGCAAAAAUGGCCGAUGACGGGUUAAACUGAUUAUGCAAAAAUGGUCGAGGAUGGGUUGAACUGAUUCUACACAAUGAUCGAGCACGGGUUGAACUGGUUCUGCAGAAAUGGUGAAAUGAUUUUGCAAAAAUGGUUGAAGAUAGGUUGAACUGAUUCUGUAAAAAAGGUCGAGGAUAGGUUGAAUUGGUUCUGCAACAAUGGUCGAGGACGGGUUGAACUAAUUCUGCAAAAAUGGUCGAGGACGGGUUGGAUUGGUUCUGCAAAAAUGGUCGAGACGGUUUGAACUGAUUCUGCAACAAUGGUUGACGACAAAUUAAACUGAUUUCGUAAAAAUAGAGCAAAAAUGGUCGAGAACUGGUUGAACUGAUUCUGCAAAAAUGGCUGAGUACGGGUUGAACUAAUUCUGCAAAAAUGAUCGAGGACAGAUUGAACUGGUUCUAGUAAUAAAGGAUACAAAUUGAUUUUACAUAUAGUUUCAAAACUGAUUCUGUAUAAAUAGUCGAGGAUGAGUUGAGUUUAUGUUACAUAUUAAUUUUGCUGGAAUUGUGAGGGUUGUGUUCUAUUAACAGCCCCAAACCCUUAGGGGUAUGAUAGGUAUUUACAGCAUUGUUCCAUGUUAUUGGGUUGGGCUUUAAUUGUUUUUAUGCUUUUGUCUCCUUGACAUGUUUAAAAACUAUUAGAGUUCCUUGAAAUAUAACGAAAGUUUUUGUCUCUAUAUAUAAAGCACCCAAUUGAAUAAUUAAAAUUUUAUUUUAAUAAUUUAUUUCUGUCUACAUGGUACAAUGAUUGCCACAUCAGCAAAAAUAUGAGGACCUAUAGUAGCCACAUCAUCACUUAAUAGUCAAAUUGACGGUUUGACUAAUAGAUAUAUGAAAUUGCAAGUAAAUACGAGUUUAUGUAUGAAAUUGAAAUGUUUUAAAGAUAUUGUAUGAGAUUGCAAUUGCCCCCAGACUUAAGGGCGUAAAAUGUAAUUUACCCUAAUUUUUUUCAAACCAAAAUAUUAUAGGAAAAAUUACACUUAGAGUAUACUUUCAAUACUUAAUUAUAUAUUAAAACAAAACUUUUAAAACAUUUCAAGGAGACAUUUUUAAAACCCGUGUAAGAUGACAUCAUGUCCUAUUUUUCCAUUAGAAACGUAGUUACUUAUUUACCCUUCCCUUUUCUGUUAAAUGUGAUCGGCGGAGAUUGAUGGAAAUAUAGCUUCAAAUUUACUCUCUUCUAUUUGAAUAAUUGAAUUUCUAUUUUCAUUUCUCUGCUAUUUUUCUUCAUCUCUGAAGUUUGUCUCUCAAAUUUAUUCGAAGGUAAGUUGUUCUUUUGGUUUUAUAUUUAAAUUUUCUUUUUGCAAGUUUAUCUGCUCCAAUUUUGAAUGAGUUGUGUGUUUUUGAAUUUAUUUUGGUUUAGAUUUUGAAAACGAGUCUCUAAUUUUUCAGUUUUUUAUUAUUCGCAUUGAGCUUCUUUUGAUUGUUUUUGUUUUUUGCAAGCACGCUUUUUAAUUUUUGAAGAUUUUGAUUCAGUUUUUAUUGAUCGAGUGUUGGUGAAGGUGAUUUUCUGUUUUGCCGUUUUCGUCUUCAUUGAGUUGCUUUUGUUUUUUACAUUAUAGUUAUCUAUAUUAGUUAGAAUACGAAUGGCUUAUGAAUUAGUUUAGUAUUUAAACUUUUUUUAAUAAUAUUUAUGCAGCAUAAGCUUAUAGAAUCAUGCAAAAUCAGUUGGCAUAAAUUUUGAAGGGGGGUUGGGGGGAAUCCCCCCUCGUCCUCCAAUAAACAUUUAAUAAUUUUCAACUUAAUACUUGUGCUGACACACCCCGACCGAGAUCAAGGCAUGCUGGCUGUCACGUGAGGGUGAUGUAGUCAUGUGCACAGUGCGGAGGCAAUAAAGAUAAGAAAUAUAUGAAUAAUUAAAGACCGAAAUUACUAGGGUGCACCAGUAAACAGGAAGUGUUAGGAGUAAAAUACAAAAGUUAAUACUCCUAAUCAGAGCAUAGAAAGUCUAGGUGAAGUCUGAUAGGGAUUUUACUACACAUUUGAACGGGCUAAAAACUCCUAUUAUACUUGCAAAAAUCACAAGGUUGUUGUAGUAUAAACGAAUCUCGCAACGUCGUUCUCUACAGGGAUUAUUAAAUAAUUCAGAGAAAACCAAAUUCCAAUUAAUUAUUGUAAAGUAGAAAUUGAGAUGAUUGAUUUUAUAACCUACUUAAAUUAAAAACGAAUUUCACUAUUAAAGAUAAGACAAUCUGCAAUAUUGAAAACUAGAAGGAAAAGAAAACAGUUUUGGGAGAAAUCAAAUUAAGAAAGCACUAGGGUUCCACCAUCACCUAGCAAUCCUAUGAACUUUUACCAAAUACUUAUGAUCUACACAUGCCACUUUGAAGGUUAGGUUUUCCUAAUUUAUAUUCUACUUGGAACCUCCAACAUAGAACGUAUAUCUAACUUGUAACCCGUCCGGAUGUUCGGAUCAAAUCUGAACAUAAAAGACUCAUUAUGCUUUAUGAAAACCCUGUAAAAAAUCAUGCAAUCCUUAAGACGUGGUGUUCAUCCUAAGUGAAAUUACAAUUAUUUAUCACAAGAAGCUAGGGUCAAUUUCAAGGAACCUUCCGACCAAAAUUGAAUCAAAUUACUUUUCUAAAGAUCCUAAUGGUGAUCAAGCAUUAAGACAAUUAUUAAUCCCGGUGAUUAAUAAUUCAAAGUAUGCAUGCAAUCAAUCAUAAGCAAUUAAAUAAAAAUCACGUAUUCAUGCUAAGGCUAAGGUUUCGCCCUAGCAAAAAAAAUUAGUUAUGCAUAUUCAUAAUUAAAAUCAUAGAAAAAUAUUAUUAAGAAAAGGAUUGAAAACACCUUCAAGUAGAAAAUCUCCAAAACCCUAGCAAUUCUCUUUGUCUCCAAAAUUACAUAAAAUAAAGCGUAGUGAAAAAUUGUACACAACCAAGCAAUAUAUCUGCUAAGCCUCCACAUAAACCCUAAAAACGGGUCCUUUAUUCCCACUAGGAAACUAAAAAUAAUAAUCAAAUAAAAUAGGAAACAUAACCCGAAAUUAAAUGGUAAAAUUCGCCUAAAAUUUGAUCAGCCACGUUUUAGACCCAUAAGCUGCUCCAAAACUGGCCCAAUAUAGCUGUAUUCAAUGUUUGGAAUAUUCUGAACACUUCUCUAGAAGGCCACGAACCAAUCCGAGGUCAUCUUGGGCUCCAAAAACGCAAUUCAGCCCAGAAACGUCAUUUUCCAGCACCACGCAUUGCUCCUUUAUUUUAUCACCGGAAAAUAACCGCUUGGUGGAAAAAUCCCAAAUUUUGAUACGAUCAAGCUAAGUGACGCACGAAUGUCCUCCAACUGAAAUUACUCCAAAAUUCGUCAAUUUGGUCCUGUUUUGCUCCAGAGGAAUUUGAAAGUCCUAUAUUGAAAAUACAAUUCAAAGUAUCAAAAUUCUUCCAAAAUAGUAACCAAAAUAUGCUAAGACUCAAACAAGACUCAAACAAAAAUAAAAACUUAACAAACUUGACAACUAGCUAAAACUCAACCAAGACAAAACUUCCACCUUCAAGUUGCAAUCCAUAGCAAAUUUUAAAAACUAGAACAUCUUUUCAAAAGUUCCAACUAAUCCCAACACAGAGUCUAAACCAUUUAGAAUCAAUUAGAAAAGAAUUCACAAACUUCCUUUGGUGUAAAGUGAACCAACGUAGUUAAGGAGACUCGACUAAAAGUCUUACCUUUCGUCCUUCUUUAUUUCAUACAUACUAACUUUGAAUAUAACUAUCUUUCUUUUUCUUUUUCAAUUUUUUUUUCAGUAACAGUAGUGGUUGUGCAAUGUCGGUUCACUUAAACUUUCGACCCAUGUAGUGAGCUUUAGGUCAAUGACUCCCAAACCACUAGGGCUUUAGGGCACUAGGUGUAGAACACCCCUAAAGACUUAUUAACCUGAGCUGAAAAGGCUACAAAACCAACUGACCACCCUGCCCCAUGCCAAAACUCUACCGUUUGACGCGAGAAUCAUUGCUGAUUAGGCAGGACUGGCCUGGUUACUAGGCAAAAUCUCGGGUGAGACAAUUAUUACUUUAUAACACAAUAAUAACUGACUUUACUUAAAUAAAAAAUGUAAAAUAAACUUAGACUAAAAGUAAGUGUUUCAAUCUCACUCCCCACAAACCAUGUUGGUGUGAUGUGCAAAGGUCAAAGUAUAAUUCAUGAAUUAGUGUCUAAGUAACGAUAAAUAGAAAAGACUCUACUGUGGGAUUAAUUGUCACAGCCCGUUCCAAAUUAUUAUAUUCGUGGCUGUGAAUGGACGAAAUUGCCCUUAAGAAAUACUAAGUUUGUGAAGCUCAGGUUGCUAAUUAUCUAGGUUCCGAAGUUUUGAAAAUAAAAUGGAAUUUAAUAAGGAUGGAACUUAGAUUUUUAGGUUAAAAUGUUAAAGUUUGGUGUUUGGAGAUGGGAAUAAGGACCACGUGGGAUCCCCACAUCCCUCAAAACCCUCCUCAUUUCCCGUUCACUGUCUUUCUCUCUCCUCCUUCACGAUUUCUCACUCUCUCUCUGUCUCUCUCCUUCGAACUCACACGGACCACCACCAAAACCACCCUAAAUCUAUACCAAUGUCAAGUUUGAGACCACAAUUGGAAUCCUGAGGACUUCACGAUCACGUUGGUAUCCAUUUCAGGUAAGUUUUACUUCGGAAAACCUAGAUUCUAAACUCCCCAUGAAAGUGUACUGUUCAUGAGCUUUGAAUUGGUUGAUUUUUAGGACAAUCCAAGCUCAUAGUGAGCUUAGUGAGGUCCCAAGGAAGCUCGGAGUGCUUCGUUGGAAGUUUUUGGACGUAAGAACACGGAGAUCGAUAAGUUCAAAGUUUGGCCGGAGCUUUCGAGGCAUUUUCCGGCGAAUCCCCGGCGAGUUAGGCGUCGAGGUAGGUAUCAAUCUCUUCGUCUCGUCAAGUACUACAACUUUCCUUUUUGUUUCACUCAAUUUCGUUGAGUAUUGAAGAAGUUAUACUCAUUUGAAAAAUACCCAGUUUCCGGCGACCUCCGAGGCUUUCGAGGCAGUUUCCGGCCAAACUACGGCGAACUAGGUGUUGGGAAAGGUACCAUUCUCUCUUUGUCUCUUCAAGGGCUACAACUUUCGUUUUUGAAUCACUUGAUUUCGUUGAGAAAUGACAAAGUUAUGGCAAUUUGAAAAAACUGCCCAGAAAACGGCCGCCGGAAAAACCAGUCCGGCGACCCAAGGAAGAAGAAGGUGCUACAGUAAAAAUAAAAAAUAAAAAUAAAAUUAUUUUAAAAAUAUGUCGACGUCCGUGACGUCGAGUAGAUCACUGUGGUAUAUUCAUAUACCUAAAUUGAACACCGUAUGAGAAAGUUAUUGAAGAUUGUUGGUUAGGUGUUCAAAUAACGUUUUAUAGUUUUCACAUUUAGGUGAAAAUGUGAAUUGAUGAUCCGACCGUUGGAUCGUCACCAAACUUUGAUACGUUGUAAUACGUAAUAUUUGAGGAUUAUUGGAACUUACGGAUUGGGAAUCCGAGUUACGGAUCUUCCGGAAUUGGAAUUGUAAGUCCAUAAUAUAAAAUGUUAACCGUCACUUAGUUUUUGGAAAUUGACGGAGAUCCGACCGUUGGAUGGUAAUGAAAUUUUAGGAUGUUGUCCUAGAGGUAUAAUGUGGACCUCUGGAAGUUAUGGAUUUAAAAUCUGAGGGGUGGAUCUUCCGGAUCAAUCUACGUAGUGACGUAUUUUAUAUAAGUUAUAUAUUCUAUCGAUAUGAAUUCUGAGGUUGGAAUUGAUUAUUGUUUUAGGCGCCGAUCGUCAUGACGCCUUGGCGUAUUGUGCUAGGGAGUUGUAGGGCGAACUCCAGGUGAGUGGGCAGUUUUGUUUUCCGUAUAUAUAUAUAUACUUAACGUUUUUCCCAGAAAUUGAAAAUGCAUGAAAUUAUGUUUAAAAUGAAAUGCAUAUGAGUUAUGUGAAAAAAAACGGGAAGUGAAAUACCAUGCAUAGAAUUGAUAUGAAAAGUAUAUAGAAAUGUGAGUUGAAAUGCCAUACAUGAAUUAAUAUAUGAUGCAUAUGUAUGAAUUGGUGCGGUGGACGCACAGGUAAGAAUUGAUUUAUGAUGCAUAUGUAUGAAAUGGUGCGGUGGACGCACAGAUGAGUAUUUAAUUACUGUUAUGAUGAUGAUGAUAUAUAUUGAGCUCAAAUCCUGCACCAUGGUUUAGUGCUUAUAGUAUUCACCGCAUCGCACGCUCGCCUUGGAUCCAAGUAGAUGCUAGUCGUACAGUCCACGCGGAGUGGGUACGACAGACCAGUCGCGAGAGUGUUAGUGAGAUUCCGACUGGUGGGUGACCUUAGAUUAUGUGCACAGAUGAUUUAUGAGAAGCACUAGAGCGUAACUUGUGUGCAGAAGGCCGGACGGGUCACAGAGGUGACUCCGGUAGAGUGAUAAUGAUAGAUUUUGAGCUCUAGGUUCAACCGUAUAGGGCUAUUAGAGGGCCUACGGUUGAUUACUUUCUUGCACCUGAUAUGAUUAUGUUGAUGCAUUCAUACCUUAUUACUGUUGAGAUGAUGUGGCAUGGCAUAAUUAAUAUGAGAAAUGUUGAGAUGACAUGGCAUGGCAUGAUUGAUAAAGAGAUAAUGUUUGAGAUAGUAAAAAUGAAGUUUUGAGAAUAUAUAUGUAUAUUUAUAUUUUACAUUUCUGGGAAAGUAUACAGGUUUUACGGAGAGGGGUUACAACGUUUUGAGAAAUGUUUGGAUUUGGAAAAGAAUUGUUUUACUGACCCACUCAAUUUUGGUUUUGCGCCCCUCCAGGUUCAGGAAUCACAAAGGUGUGGUGACUACGAGGAAUUCGACGGUGUUCUGACAGAUUGGACAAAAUUAGGACUCACCUUCGGGUGUAUCAAUUUAAAUUGUAUCUUAAAGCUUCCGUACUGUGCAAAUGGUUACGUCACUCUCACGUGACGGCCAGCAUGCCCUCCUUCGGGACGGGGUGUGUCAGUUGGUAUCAGAGCAUGGUUGCAAUCUUGGACAUCUUGAGAAGUUUCUAGUGAAUUCUGUCAGAACUACACCGCCUCGUAGCAAACCACGUAGUUAGAGGAAUUUAGUCUCCCUGAUUUAGCGGUUUAGAGGAAACUAUUAUUAUGGUGAUUCAGUAUAUUAUCAAAAUGGACAUUUUAAGACGGGUUAUGAGUUGAAUUUGAAUCACCUUAUGGAAUGAUGAACCUGAGGGAGCGAAGUAACGGUUUAACCAUUUGGAAAAGAUGUUUCAGAUUAUGCAAGUUAAAGGAAAUUUCCUUCUGACAAGGGGUCGAGACGACUACCUGGUUUUGGGUAUGAAUUUGUAUCCUGGUGGAAACAUGAUUGUUAAUUGUUGUCACCGGAGGAAACAGCUGAUUGAGAAUUAUUUAAGGACUUGUUUAAGGAAAAGUUUAUCCCUCCGGCAUUUAUCGAUGGUAGUAAGCAAGAGUUUGCAAAUGUGAAUCAAGGAAGUUGACGAUAAAUGAAUAUUAUAGAAAGUUUUCAGACUUGCCUCGUUCCAUCCAGAUAUUUGAGACAAGGUGUCUCGAGUAAAGGAAAUGUACCUUGUGCAGCAGGUACAAAAUUAACACUUUGGGAAGUGUGAAAUUAAUAAAUGUGUUUAUGUGAACAGAGGGAACGCAGAAUUGUGAAUUGUCCCUAGAAUCAGUUGUACUCAACAAUUUUCCAUGAUAUCAUAGUGUCGAUUCAGCAGAGUUAUGGACUUAGUAGUUUGGUCGGAUUGACCGUGAGUACAGAGAGAUUUGAUGAGUUAUAUGUUCAGCCGUACAGACCAUGAGAAAUGGAUUCGACUGACACAUGAGAAAUUGGUGAGUUAUAGGUUCGGCCGUACCGACCACGCGGAGUGGAUCCGGCCGACGUAUUAUUGAGAUAAGAGUUGAAUCAGCCGUAUUGAUCAUUCUAGUUGACUUCGGCUGAUAUAUUUCUUAUUAUGUAUGUUAUUACCUAGAGAGUAGUAAAUAAAUGUAGUUGAGACGAGUGUAUGUAUUUUGCAUUGAGUGACAAAAUAGUAAUGUUAUAUCUUUGAGAGUGGUUGCCUACUUAUCGAGACAACGAUGAUUUAUCAGUAUUGCGGGCUGCAGACCGUAAUAUUAAUAACUCAUUCGUGGAUUCGUUAAGCAAGCAACCCGGUAGAUUAUUUUAUGUUAGUAUUGUACUUAUUUAGAAUGCUUAAUAAUAAUAGAAUAUAUAUUGUAUCAGUUAAUUUUGUUCCAUUAGAUUGGUUGGUUAUAAUUGUGACAAGACGGAAUGUUACGGGAAACCAGUAUUUUCCAUCGAUCUGGAUGACCAAAGAUUACUUUUGUAAGUAUGCAAAGUGGAUUGAGUCAGGCCGUUAUUUAUACUGUAAGAGCAAAGAGAUUGUUUUCGAAAGGCUGUCAAAAAUACUUAGCUCAUGUGGUGCUAAAUGAUGUUGUUUGGAGUAGUGUGAAUAAUGUCGAAAGGGUUAGAUUUUCUUGAUGUCUUCCCUGAAAGUAUACCUGGAUUGCCUUCAGGCAGAGAUAUGAGGUUCACUAUUGAUUUGUUGCCAGGUAUAAAUUUAUGUUAAAGAUUGGUUCAUGAUGAGUUAAGGGAAUUGGAAAUUCAGUUGAAAGAAUUGGUUGAUAAAAAUUUUAUUCAACCUAGUACAACGCUUUGGGGGAGCCCCAGUUCGUUGGUAAGGAAGAAAAUGGGCUUUAAGACUAUCCAUUGAUUAUAGACAAUGGAAUCGGGUAACGAUUGGGACCGUUAUCCAUCGUGAUGUACUGAUGUUUAUUUAACCAGCUCAGAAGUAAUUGCGAAGAUUCAAAGAUUGAAUUGAGAUCUGGUUACUACCAAUUGAAUAUUAUAAGUGACGUUGAUCAUAAGAUGGUUUUCUGGACUUGUUAUAGUCUUUAUGAAGUUUGGUGAUGCUAUAUGGAUACUCAUGCUGUUUUAUGAGUUGAUGGAUGAAGUAUUCCAAUAAUGCUUUGAUAAUUGAUAUCAUUUUCGUUGAAGAUAUUCUGGCAUAUUCUGAGCAAGAGCAGAGCAUGUAAACGUAUUAAGUCGGUGGAACAAAGAUUGGAAGAAUGUCGAUUGUAUGCUAAGUUUAGCAAAUGCGAAAGUUAGAUGAAUCAGGUGGCAUUCUGAGAUUGGUUAUAUCUGCUUAAGGUAUUCAAAUGAAUUCUUAAAAGGCAGCAGAAUUGAGAAAUUGGAACAACCACAAGCCAUAAUUGAGAUUCGGAAAUUCUUAACUUAUCAGGCUAUUUUGGAUGGUUGUGAAAGAAUUUUUAGUCAUUGCUUUAUCAUUGACAAGACUGUUGAGAAAGGAGGUUAUGUAUGAGUGGGAAGGAAAUUGUGAGCAAAGGAUUCAACAACUGGAGUAUUUCCUCACUCAUGCACGUAUUUUAGUAAUCCUAGAAGAUAGUGGUAAUUAUUGGUUUAUGGUGAUGGUACAUUAAAUAUUCUUGGAGAUGUAUUGAUGCAAAUGUUAGGGUGAUUGAAUAUGUUUCACGACAAAUGGAACCUAAUGAGAUGAAUUACCCUACUGGUGACUUGGAAGUCACGAUUAUCAUCCUUGCUGUGAAGUUGUGGAGACAUUAUAUGUUGAUAAGAAUGCAAGAUUUUACAAAUCAAAAGAGUCUCCAAUAUUUGUUUAUUCGGAAGGAUUUUGAUAUGAGGCAACAAAGGUGGAUUGAAUUACUUAGUGAUUAUGAUGGUACGAUCAGGGUGAUCGUGAAUUGUUGUAGCUGAAGCACUUGGUGAGAAGACUACGGUAUGAUUAAUGUCUGGCACGUUUGCCAAGAGUAUCAUCUUGUGGAUUGAAAACCAACGGAAGAAAAAUUAAGAAUGGAAGAUCGAGAAGAAGUUAUACUUGUUCAAUUUCAAGUUAGGCCUGUUUGGUAAGGUCGUACUCGAAACUUAAAUGUUUGACGAGGAAUUUAAGAAUUAACCAAGGCAAGGAA
rnacentral:lncRNA from 1 species